UACGGGGGGGGCAAGCGUUGUUCGGAAUUACUGGGCGUAAAGAGCGCGCAGGCGGUCGUUCAAGUCGCGUGUGAAAGCCCCCGGCUCAACUGGGGAGGGUCACGCGAUACUGAUCGACUCGAAGGCAGGAGAGGGUAGUGGAAUUCCCGGUGUAGUGGUGAAAUGCGUAGAUAUCGGGAGGAACACCAGUGGCGAAGGCGACUACCUGGCCUGUUUCUUGACGCUGAGGCGCGAAAGCUAGGGGAGCAAACGGG
rnacentral:rRNA from 1 species